GGUUAAGCGACUAAGCGUACACGGUGGAUGCCCUGGCAGUCAGAGGCGAUGAAGGACGUGCUAAUCUGCGAAAAGCGCCGGCGAGGUGAUAUGAACCUUUGACCCGGCGAUGUCCGAAUGGGGAAACCCAGUGCAAUCCGUUGCACUAUCGUUAACUGAAUACAUAGGUUAACGAGGCGAACCGGGGGAACUGAAACAUCUAAGUACCCCGAGGAAAAGAAAUCAACCGAGAUUCCCCCAGUAGCGGCGAGCGAACGGGGAGCAGCCCGGAGUCUGAAU
rnacentral:rRNA from 1 species